rnacentral:rRNA from 1 species
AAGAGCGGCGGACGGGUGAGUAACGCGUGGGUAACCUACCCUGUACACACGGAUAACAUACCGAAAGGUAUGCUAAUACGGGAUAAUAUAUUUGAGAGGCAUCUCUUGAAUAUCAAAGGUGAGCCAGUACAGGAUGGACCCGCGUCUGAUUAGCUAGUUGGUAAGGUAACGGCUUACCAAGGCGACGAUCAGUAGCCGACCUGAGAGGGUGAUCGGCCACAUUGGAACUGAGACACGGUCCAAACUCCUACGGGAGGCAGCAGUGGGGAAUAUUGCACAAUGGGCGAAAGCCUGAUGCAGCAACGCCGCGUGAGUGAUGAAGGCCUUCGGGUCGUAAAACUCUGUCCUCAAGGAAGAUAAUGACGGUACUUGAGGAGGAAGCCCCGGCUAACUACGUGCCAGCAGCCGCGGUAAUACGUAGGGGGCUAGCGUUAUCCGGAUUUACUGGGCGUAAAGGGUGCGUAGGCGGUCUUUCAAGUCAGGAGUGAAAGGCUACGGCUCAACCGUAGUAAGCUCUUGAAACUGGGAGACUUGAGUGCAGGAGAGGAGAGUGGAAUUCCUAGUGUAGCGGUGAAAUGCGUAGAUAUUAGGAGGAACACCAGUUGCGAAGGCGGCUCUCUGG